rnacentral:tRNA from 1 species
GGUGCGUUCGUUUAGUCCGGCUCAAGACGCUGCCUUGUCAAGGCAGAGAUCGCGGGUUCGAAUCCCGCACGCACCGCCU